ensembl:lncRNA
GUAACAUGGUCCUAUAUGGGGUCUCUAGGAGGUGUUGAUGGUUGUGUUGUAACAUGGUCCUAUAUGGGGUCUCUAGGUGUUGAUGGUUGUGUUGUAACAUGGUCCUAUAUGGGGUCUCUAGGUGUUGAUGGUUGUGUUGUAAGAUGGUCCUAUAUGGGGUCUCUAGGUGUUGAUGGUUGUGUUGUAACAUGGUCCUAUAUGGGGUCUCUAGGUGUUGAUGGUUGUGUUGUAAAAUGGUCCUAUAUAGGUGUUGAUGGUUGUGUUGUAACAUGGUCCUAUAUGGGGUCUCUAGGUUUUGAUGGUUGUGUUGUAACAUGGUCCUAUAUGGGGUCUGUAGGUGUUGAUGGUUGUGUUGUAAAAUGGUCCUAUAUAGGUGUUGAUGGUUGUGUUGUAACAUGGUCCUAUAUGGGGUCUCUAGGUUUUGAUGGUUGUGUUGUAACAUGGUCCUAUAUGGGGUCUCUA